rnacentral:piRNA from 1 species
UAGGUGCUCGUGCAUACAUGGACUUCCUUC